CCCCCCCCCCCCCCCCCCCGCCGCGACUCGUAGAUGGGGAACCCACAUAUUCGGUAAACCGCAUUCUGGACUCGAGACGGAGGGGACGCGGAUUUCAGUACUUGGUGGACUGGGAAGGUUACGGUCCGGAGGAGAGAAGUUGGGUACCUGCUAGAGACAUCCUGGAUCACUCCCUUAUUGAUGAUUACAAUCGACAGAUCGUUGUGGUUGUUCCUUGGUGUGUUUCCUGUGCUCGUGCCUCGUCUGUUCUGUUCCUCGUUUGGAUUUCGUCAGUUCUUCGUGUCGUCUGGAUUUCGUCAGUUCUUCGUGUCAUCUGGAUGUUCCACUAUCCCUGGGUUUCACUCGAGCACGCUGUCAUCUGUUUCCACCACCGGAUCGCCAUCUCGUCCCUGCUUCACUGACCAUCUGAGUGUUUGUCCCUGAUCUGUGCCUUGUCAUCAUUGUUCACUCUGACUUUAUUCAUUAAACUGAGUUUUACUUGCA